rnacentral:rRNA from 1 species
UACGUAGGGGGCAAGCGUUGUCCGGAUUUAUUGGGCGUAAAGAGCGUGUAGGCGGCUUUACAGGUCCGUUGUGAAAACUCGAGGCUCAACCUCGAGACGCCGGUGGAAACCGUAAGGCUAGAGUCCGGAAGAGGAGAGUGGAAUUCCUGGUGUAGCGGUGAAAUGCGCAGAUAUCAGGAAGAACACCCGUGGCGAAGGCGGCUCUCUGGGACGGUACUGACGCUGAGGCACGAAAGCUAGGGGAGCAAACAGG